GCGAGUGAACCGGGAAGAGCUCAAAUUUGAAAUCUGGCGUGCUCAGUGCGUCCGAGUUGUAAUCUAUAGAGUCGUUUUCCGUGCCGGACUGUGUCCAAGUCCCUUGGAACAGGGUAUCAAAGAGGGUGAUAAUCCCGUACUUGACACAAUGACCGGUGCUCUGUGAUACGUCUUCUACGAGUCGAGUUGUUUGGGAAUGCAGCUCAAAAUGGGUGGUGAGUUCCAUCUAAAGCUAAAUAUUGGCGAGAGACCGAUAGCGAACAAGUACCGUGAGGGAAAGAUGAAAAGCACUUUGGAAAGAGAGUUAAACAGUACGUGAAAUUGUUAAAAGGGAAACGAUUGAAGUCAGUCGUGACUGAGAGGCUCAGCCGGUUCUGCCGGUGUAUUCCCCUCAGUCGGGUCAACAUCAGUUUUGUUCGGUGGAUAAGGGCAGUUGGAAGGUGGCACCCUCGGGUGUGUUAUAGCCAGCUGUCGCAUACAUCGGAUGAGACUGAGGAAUGCAGCUCGCCUUUAUGGCCGGGGUUCGCCCACGUUCGAGCUUAGGAUGUUGACAUAAUGGCUUUAAACGACCCGUCUGAAA
rnacentral:rRNA from 1 species